CACCCUCCCAGCUCUCGGACUCCGCAAAAAGUGGGAAUUAUUUAUUUGUGGGUUUAUGAAAGCUAAAUUGACUGCUUGAUUUCUUACUCCUUGCAGGAACUUGUCUAAGGACAGCAUCAGCAAGAUUACCCUCAAACAACCACCCCAUCUGCCCUGUGCAGUUCAGCUGAGAAGUCCACGCUCCCAGCCCCUCUCUCUCAGGCAUCUCGAGCACCUCACCAGUCGCUGCUCCGACCACAGGCC
rnacentral:lncRNA from 1 species